GCACCUUUGUCGGAGCGGUUAAGGAGUUCGUCUUAAAGUCCAGUCUCCGAAAGCCGUGUGAGUUUGAAUCUCACGGGGUGCG
rnacentral:tRNA from 1 species